rnacentral:rRNA from 1 species
CAAAUUUAAAAUCUACCUGGUUUYCAGGUCGAGUUGUAAUUUGAAGAUACGUUUUUGACGUUCCGGGUUGAACUAAAUCCUUUGGGAUAAGGUAUCAUGGAGGGUGAGAAUCCCGUAUAUACCAACCRUAGGGAUGUUAUUUAAUACGUUUCUAAGAGUCGAGUUGUUUGGGAAUGCAGCUCUAAAUGGGKGGUAAAUUUCACCUAAUGCUAAAUAUAAGCGAGAGACCGAUAGYGAACAAGUACAGUGAUGGAAAGAUGAAAAGAACUUUGAAAAGAGAGUUAAAUAGUAYGUGAAAUUGUUGAAAGGGAAACGAUUGAAGUCAGUCAUGCCRGUGGGAAUCAACUUWGAGGAAACUCUGAGUGCACUUYUUCGCUUGGCAGGUCAACGUCGAUUUUGGAUGUCAUAAAAWGAUUGGGGGAAGGUAGCYCYUCGGGAGUGUUAUAGCCCUUGGUAGAUGUGAUGUCUGGGAUCGAGGAUUGCAAUGGAUACCCUUUGGGGCUAGCCGCCUGAUCUCUAAUYGGUAUUGGGUUACGGAUAGCAUGCUGACCGUGAUCUAAUUAUUGGUUAAAAGGUUAG